rnacentral:rRNA from 1 species
CGUAGGUGGCAAGCGUUGUCCGGAUUUAUUGGGUUUAAAGGGUGCGUAGGCGGCCCUGUAAGUCAGUGCUGAAAUAUCCCGGCUUAACCGGGAGGGUGGCAUUGAUACUGCAGGGCUUGAGUAAAGUUGAGGAUGGCGGAAUUGACGGUGUAGCGGUGAAAUGCUUAGAUAUCGUCAAGAACACCGAUAGUGAAGACAGCUAACUAAGCUUUAACUGACGCUGAGGCACGAAAGUGUGGGGAUCAAACAGGAUUAGAUACCCUGGUAGUCCACACUGUAAACGUUGAUUACUCGAUGUUGGCGAUACACAGUCAGCGUCUUAGCGCAAGCGAUAAGUAAUCCACCUGGGGAGUGCGCCGGCAACGGUG